AGAGUUUGAUCAUGGCUCAGGAUGAACGCUGGCGGCGUGCCUAACACAUGCAAGUCGAGCGAUUCUCUUCGGAGAAGAGCGGCGGACGGGUGAGUAACGCGUGGGUAACCUGCCCUGUACACACGGAUAACAUACCGAAAGGUAUGCUAAUACGAGAUAAUAUACUUUUAUCGCAUGGUAGAAGUAUCAAAGCUUUUGCGGUACAGGAUGGACCCGCGUCCGAUUAGCUAGUUGGUAAGGUAACGGCUUACCAAGGCGACGAUCAGUAGCCGACCUGAGAGGGUGAUCGGCCACAUUGGAACUGAGACACGGUCCAAACUCCUACGGGAGGCAGCAGUGGGGAAUAUUGCACAAUGGGCGAAAGCCUGAUGCAGCAACGCCGCGUGAGCGAUGAAGGCCUUCGGGUCGUAAAGCUCUGUCCUCAAGGAAGAUAAUGACGGUACUUGAGGAGGAAGCCCCGGCUAACUACGUGCCAGCAGCCGCGGUAAUACGUAGGGGGCUAGCGUUAUCCGGAAUUACUGGGCGUAAAGGGUGCGUAGGUGGUUUCUUAAGUCAGAGGUGAAAGGCUACGGCUCAACCGUAGUAAGCCUUUGAAACUGGGAAACUUGAGUGCAGGAGAGGAGAGUGGAAUUCCUAGUGUAGCGGUGAAAUGCGUAGAUAUUAGGAGGAACACCAGUUGCGAAGGCGGCUCUCUGGACUGUAACUGACACUGAGGCACGAAAGCGUGGGGAGCAAACAGGAUUAGAUACCCUGGUAGUCCACGCCGUAAACGAUGAGUACUAGCUGUCGGAGGUUACCCCCUUCGGUGGCGCAGCUAACGCAUUAAGUACUCCGCCUGGGAAGUACGCUCGCAAGAGUGAAACUCAAAUGAAUUGACGG
rnacentral:rRNA from 1 species